CUAAUGGGACAUAAUCAAAAAAAUUAAAGCUGGAACAAUACAGAGAAGAUUAGCAUGGCCCCUGCGCAGAAUAGAAGGAGAAGUAAAGACCUUCC
ensembl:snRNA U6 U6 spliceosomal RNA